GAUAUUGCUCAGUGGGUUAGAGUGCUGUGCUGAUAAUGCCAAGGUUGCAGGUUCAAUCCCUGUAUGGGACA
rnacentral:tRNA from 1 species